rnacentral:rRNA from 1 species
CAUGCCGUAAACGAUGAGUGCUAAGUGUUAGGGGGUUUCCGCCCCUUAGUGCUGCAGCUAACGCAUUAAGCACUCCGCCUGGGGAGUACGACCGCAAGGUUGAAACUCAAAGGAAUUGACGGGGGCCCGCACAAGCGGUGGAGCAUGUGGUUUAAUUCGAAGCAACGCGAAGAACCUUACCAGGUCUUGACAUCCUACUAACGAGGUAGAGAUACGUCAGGUGCCCUUCGGGGAAAGUAGAGACAGGUGG